CCUACGGGGGGCAGCAGUGAGGAAUAUUGGUCAAUGGCCGGAAGGCUGAACCAGCCAAGCCGCGUGAAGGACGAAGGUGCCAAGCAUUGUAAACUUCUUUUGUCAAGGGACAAAAUCAGGCUCGAGAGCCUGACCGAGGGUACUUGAAGAAAAAGCAUCGGCUAACUCCGUGCCAGCAGCCGCGGUAAUACGGAGGAUGCGAGCGUUAUCCGGAUUUAUUGGGUUUAAAGGGUGCGUAGGCGGAGUGUUAAGUCAGCGGUAAAAGUCCGGGGCUCAACCCCGGCGAGCCGUUGAAACUGGGUGUCUUGAGAUGGCGAGAGGUAUGCGGAAUGCGCAGUGUAGCGGUGAAAUGCUUAGAUAUUGCGCAGAACUCCGAUUGCGAAGGCAGCAUACCGGCGGCGAACUGACGCUGAGGCACGAAAGCGUGGGUAUCGAACAGGAUUAGAUACCCGAGUAGUC
rnacentral:rRNA from 1 species